UUGUUUGUUUUUUUGAGCGUUCGGUGGAUGCCUUGGCAUCAGGGGCCGAUGAAGGACGUGGUGGCCUGCGAUAAGCCUCGGGGAGCCGGCUGACGGGCUGUGAUCCGAGGGUGUCCGAAUGGGGGGACCCGGCACGAGUUAUGUCGUGUCACCUGCGCCUGAAUUUCAUAGGGUGUGGGGGGUGACGCGGGGAAGUGAAACAUCUUAGUACCCGUAGGAGAAGAUAUUCCGUGAGUAGUGGCGAGCGAAAGCGGAGGAUGGUUAAACCGUGGUGGUGUGAUCACCCGGCAGGGGUUGCCGCCGCGGGGUUGUGGGACGCGUGUCUCCAGUGCCUGCCGGUGCUGGGCGCAGUGAGAAACUGGUGUGGUAGCCGAACCCUCUGGGAUGGGGGGCCGUAGUGGGUGAGAGCCCCGUAGGUGAAACCGUGCCGGCUGUGUGCGCGUGCUCCCGAGUAGCACGGGGCCCGUGGAAUCCUGUGUGAAUCUGCCAAGACCACUUGGCUGCCUGAAUACCUCCUGGUGACCGAUAGCGGAUGAGUACCGUGAGGGAAUGGUGAAAAGUACCCCGGGAGGGGAGUGAAACAGUACCUGAAACCGGGCGCUUGCAAGCCGUCAGAGCCCUUGCUGGCCUCCCUUUGCCGGGGGGUGGGGGGUGAUGGCGUGCCUAUUGAAGAAUGAGCCUGCGAGUUAGUGCCGUGUCGCGAGGUUAACCCGCCUGGGGGAGCCGUAGCGAGAGCGAGUCCGAACAGGGCGUUUGUAGUGGCGCGGUCUAGACCCGAAGCGGGGUGAUCUACCCAUGGCCAGGUUGAGGCGCGUGUAAGAGCGUGUGGAGGACCGGACCCACCUAGGUUGAAAACUGGGGGGAUGAGCUGUGGGUAGGGGUGAAAGGCCAAUCAAACUCCGUGAUAGCUGGUUCUCCCCCGAAAUGCAUUUAGGUGCAGCGUCCCGUGCUUCCCGCCGGAGGUAGAGCUACUGGGUGGCUGAUGGGCCCCACAGGGUUACUGACGUCAGCCAAACUCCGAAUGCCGGUCGGGUGGGAGCGGGGCAGUGAGACCGCGGGGGAUAAGCUCCGUGGUCGAGAGGGAAACAGCCCAGACCGUCGGCUAAGGCCCCUAAGCGUGUGCUAAGUGGGAAAGGAUGUGCGGCCGCGUGGACAACCAGGAGGUUGGCUUAGAAGCAGCCAUCCUUGAAAGAGUGCGUAAUAGCUCACUGGUCAAGUGGUCGUGCGCCGACAAUGUAGCGGGGCUCAAGCGCACCGCCGAAGCCGCGGGCCUGCCACACGGUCCCCACGACCGGCCCCCCUCCUUGGGGGUGGUUGUCAGGGGUGGUGGGUGGUAGGGGAGCGUCCUGCACCGGGUGAAGCCCCGGGGUGACCCAGGGGUGGACGGUGCGGGAGUGAGAAUGCAGGCAUGAGUAGCGAUACUAGGGUGGGAAGCCCUAGCGCCGAAUGACCAAGGGUUCCAGGGCCAGGCUAGUCCGCCCUGGGUGAGUCGGGACCUAAGGCGAGGCCGACAGGCGUAGUCGAUGGACGACGGGUUGAUAUUCCCGUACCGGCGAAGCACCGCCCAUGCUGACGCGCGGGUGCUGACCCACGCCCCGGGUCCCACGUUAUUGCUGCCACCGGGUCCGGCCUCGGCCGGCUGGUGGUGGUGGUGGGCCGGGGUCUGGGGACCCUCCGUGCAGGUAGGCAAGCGUGUUAACAGGGGUGACGCACAGUGGUAGCCUCCGCGGGCCUGAUGGCUUGGCCCGUCCAAGCGCGCGGCCCGCCGCCCAGGCAAAUCCGGGCGGCUGUCUUUGAUGACGAGGGUGAGGCGUGAUGGUGACCGGCACGGUUGUGCUGGGAAGCAGGGUGAUCCUGGGGUGCCGAGAAAAGCCUCGACGCGAUGGUGCCAGCCGCCCGUACCCUAAACCGACACAGGUGGUCGGGCAGAGCAUGCCUAGGCGCACGAGAGAAUCAUGGUGAAGGAACUCGGCAAAAUGCCCCCGUAACUUCGGGAGAAGGGGGGCCCGAGCCCUGAGGCCCGCAGCGGGCUGGGGGUGAGGGCCGCAGAGACCAGGGGGGAGCGACUGUUUAUCAAAAACACAGGUCCGUGCGAAGCCGCAAGGCGAUGUAUACGGACUGACGCCUGCCCGGUGCUGGAAGGUCAAGAGGAGCCGUCAACCCCCAGGGGUGAAGCGGCGAGUUCAAGCCCCAGUAAACGGCGGUGGUAACUAUAACCAUCCUAAGGUAGCGAAAUUCCUUGUCGGGUAAGUUCCGACCUGCACGAAUGGCGUAACGACUUCCCCGCUGUCUCCACCAUGAGCUCGGCGAAAUUGCACUACGAGUAAAGAUGCUCGUUACGCGCAGAAGGACGGAAAGACCCCGGGACCUUUACUACAGCUUGGUAUUGGCGCCCGCCACGGCUUGUGCAGGAUAGGUGGGAGACCGCGAGACGGCCGCGCCAGCGGUCGUGGAGUCGUCGUUGAGAUACCACUCUGGCCGUGGCGUGCGCCUGAACCUCGGCCCGUGAGCCGGGCCAGGGACAGUGCCUGGUGGGUAGUUUAACUGGGGCGGUUGCCUCCUAAAGAGUAACGGAGGCGCUCAAAGGUCCCCUCAGCCUGGUCGGCAACCAGGUGUCGAGUGCAAGUGCACAAGGGGGCUUGACUGCGAGACCGACAGGUCGGGCAGGUGCGAAAGCAGGAACUAGUGAUCCGGCGAUCCCGAGUGGGUGGGUCGUCGCUCAACGGAUAAAAGGUACCCCGGGGAUAACAGGCUGAUCCUGCCCAAGAGUCCAUAUCGACGGCAUGGUUUGGCACCUCGAUGUCGGCUCGUCGCAUCCUGGGGCUGGAGCAGGUCCCAAGGGUUGGGCUGUUCGCCCAUUAAAGCGGUACGCGAGCUGGGUUCAGAACGUCGUGAGACAGUUCGGUCCCUAUCCUCUGCGCGCGCAGGAUACUUGAGAGGACCUGUCCCCAGUACGAGAGGACCGGGACGGACGAACCUCUGGUGUGCCAGUUGUCCCGCCCGGGGCACGGCUGGUUGGCCACGUUCGGCACGGGUAACCGCUGAAAGCAUCUAAGCGGGAAACCACCCUCAAGACAAGGUAUCCACAACCACCCCCCCCGGGGGUGGUUGGAAGGCCCCCAGCAGACCACUGGGUCGAUAGGCCGGACGUGGAAGGCCCGCAAGGACCUGCAAGCCGACCGGUACUAACAGGCCGACACAAACAACA
rnacentral:rRNA from 1 species